GCCUGGGAGAGGAACCUGCAGAACCCCUGGGAAGAACUUUACACGUACAAAGCAGAGACAGGAUCGAAUCGCAAGCCCCAGACGGUGCAAGGCAUGCAACAACCCCAGGCCAGUCCCACCCAAGCAGCCCAGCCUUGAUUUUCCACAUGAACAUCUGCAGAGAGCGAGCGAGAGAGAGAGAGAGAGAGAAUUCUUCAGAACUGACAUAUAACAGGUACCAGAUCCUGACAUAUUCAUCCUGCUGAGUCUUGUUUCAUCUUCCAGACCUGCCAAAUUCUACCUGAUGCUGUAUUUCUGCUCUGUCCCUCCUCCUUCUUCAUCUGGAAAGUACUGCACUCAUGACUCAUCUUCUGCUAUUG